rnacentral:rRNA from 1 species
UACGUAGGGUGCGAGCGUUAAUCGGAAUUACUGGGCGUAAAGCGUGCGCAGGCGGUUUGCUGUGUCUGCUGUGAAAUCCCCGGGCUCAACCUGGGAAUUGCAGUGGAAACUGGCGAGCUUGAGUGUGGCAGAGGGGGGUGGAAUUCCGCGUGUAGCAGUGAAAUGCGUAGAGAUGCGGAGGAACACCGGUGGCGAAGGCAGCCCCCUGGGCUGACACUGACGCUCAGGCACGAAAGCGUGGGGAGCAAACAGG